GACGAACGCUGGCGGCGUGCUUAACACAUGCAAGUCGAACGGAAAGGCCCUGCUUUUGUGGGGUGCUCGAGUGGCGAACGGGGGCGUAACACGUGAGUAACCUGACCUUGACUUUGGGAUAACUUCAGGAAACUGGGGCUAAUACCGGAUAGGAGCUCCCGCUGCAUGGUGGGGGUUGGAAAGUUGCUGCGGUUGGGGAUGGACUCGCGGCUUAUCAGCUAGUUGGUGGGGUAGUGGCUUACCAAGGCUUUGACGGGUAGCCGGCCUGGGAGGGUGACCGGCCACAUUGGGACUGAGAUACGGCCCAGACUCCUACGGGAGGCAGCAGUGGGGAAUAUUGCACAAUGGGCGGAAGCCUGAUGCAGCAACGCCGCGUGCGGGAUGACGGCCUUCGGGUUGUAAACCGCUUUCGCCUGUGACGAAGCGUGAGUGACGGUAAUGGAUAAAGAAGCACCGGCUAACUACGUG
rnacentral:rRNA from 1 species